rnacentral:rRNA from 1 species
GUCAGUGGUGAAAUGCUGCGGCCCAACCGUAGACUUGCCAUUGAUACUGGUACACUUGAAUGUAGUUGAGGUAGGCGGAAUGUGUAAUGUAGCGGUGAAAUGCUUAGAUAUUACACAGAACACCGAUUGCGAAGGCAGCUUACUAAACUAUGAUUGACGCUGAGGCACGAAAGCGUGGGGAGCGAACAGGAUUAGAUACCCUGGUAGUCCACGCUGUAAACUAUGAUCACUGGUUGUUGGCAAUAUACCGUCAGCGACUGAGCGAAAGCAUUAAGUGAUCCACCUGGGGAGUACGUCGGCAACGAUGAAACUCAAAGGAAUUGACGGGGGCCCGCACAAGCGGAGGAACAUGUGGUUUAAUUCGAUGAUACGCGAGGAACCUUACCCGGGCUUAAAUGUAGAGUGCAUAGAGUGGAAACAUUCUUUUCCUUCGGGACUCUUUACAAGGUGCUGCAUGGUUGUCGUCAGCUCGUGCCGUGAGGUGUCGGGUUAAGUCCCAUAACGAGCGCAACCCUUGUCGUUAGUUGCUAGCAGGUCGAGCUGAGGACUCUAACGAGACUGCCGGUGUAAACCGAGAGGAAGGUGGGGAUGACGUCAAAUCAGCACGGCCCUUAUGUCCAGGGCUACACACGUGUUACAAUGGCCAGUACAAGGAGCAGCCACCUGGCAACAGGGCGCUAAUCUCAAAAGCUGGUCACAGUUCGGAUCGGAGUCUGCAACUCGACUUCGUGAAGGUGGAUUCGCUAGUAAUCGCGCAUCAGCCACGGCGCGGUGAAUACGUUCCCGGGCCUUGUACACACCGCCCGUCAAGCCAUGGAAGCUGGGGGUACCUGAAGUCCGUAACCGCAAGGAGCGGCCUAGGGUAAACCGUGACUGGGGCUAAGUC